UUUCCGUAGGUGAACCUGCGGAAGGAUCAUUCAUAAUAAGUGUUUUAUGGCACUUUUUUAAAUCCAUAUCCACCUUGUGUGCAAUGUCAGGGUUGAUCUUUCUCUCGAGAGGAUCGGCCCCAAACAUCAACUAUAUCUCAACUCUUUGUUUGAAAAAUAUUAUGAAUAAAACAAUUCAAAAUACAACUUUCAACAACGGAUCUCUUGGCUCUC
rnacentral:misc_RNA from 1 species